CAUGCAAGUCGAACGAGUUCUCGUUGAUGAUCGGUGCUUGCACCGAGAUUCAACAUGGAACGAGUGGCGGACGGGUGAGUAACACGUGGGUAACCUGCCCUUAAGUGGGGGAUAACAUUUGGAAACAGAUGCUAAUACCGCAUAGAUCCAAGAACCGCAUGGUUCUUGGCUGAAAGAUGGCGUAAGCUAUCGCUUUUGGAUGGACCCGCGGCGUAUUAGCUAGUUGGUGAGGUAAUGGCUCACCAAGGCGAUGAUACGUAGCCGAACUGAGAGGUUGAUCGGCCACAUUGGGACUGAGACACGGCCCAAACUCCUACGGGAGGCAGCAGUAGGGAAUCUUCCACAAUGGACGCAAGUCUGAUGGAGCAACGCCGCGUGAGUGAAGAAGGCUUUCGGGUCGUAAAACUCUGUUGUUGGAGAAGAAUGGUCGGCAGAGUAACUGUUGUCGGCGUGACGGUAUCCAACCAGAAAGCCACGGCUAACUACGUGCCAGCAGCCGCGGUAAUACGUAGGUGGCAAGCGUUAUCCGGAUUUAUUGGGCGUAAAGCGAGCGCAGGCGGUUUUUUAAGUCUGAUGUGAAAGCCCUCGGCUUAACCGAGGAAGCGCAUCGGAAACUGGGAAACUUGAGUGCAGAAGAGGACAGUGGAACUCCAUGUGUAGCGGUGAAAUGCGUAGAUAUAUGGAAGAACACCAGUGGCGAAGGCGGCUGUCUGGUCUGUAACUGACGC
rnacentral:rRNA from 1 species